CCGCGUCCCGCCGCUAUGAGCGCGGCCGGGCUGGUGUCUCCCGCGCCCCCGGCCCCUGUCCCGGUGGGGCUGCCCCCCGCCGCGCUGCCCGCCGGCCCCGAGUACUACGAGGAGGAGGAGCUGGAGAGCGCCGAGGAGGAGGACGGCGAGCGCAGCGGCCGGGCCCGGGACUCCGACGAGGAUACUGAGGAUGCCAGUGAAACUGACUUGGCAAAGCAUGAUGAAGAGGACUAUGUAGAAAUGAAAGAACAGAUGUAUCAGGACAAACUGGCAUCUCUUAAGAGGCAGUUACAACAAUUGCAGGAAGGUACUUUGCAAGAAUAUCAAAAAAGAAUGAAAAAACUGGAUCAGCAAUACAAGGAACGGAUACGGAAUGCAGAACUUUUCCUCCAGUUGGAAACAGAGCAGGUGGAGAGAAAUUAUAUCAAAGAGAAGAAGGCAGCAGUGAAGGAGUUCGAAGAUAAGAAAAUUGAGUUGAAGGAAAAUCUGAUUGCUGAAUUAGAAGAGAAGAAGAAGAUGAUAGAGAAUGAAAAGCUAACCAUGGAGCUAACAGGAGAUUCCAUGGAAGUGAAACCUAUCAUGACAAGGAAAUUGAGAAGGAGGCCAAAUGACCCUGUUCCGAUCCCAGACAAGAGGAGAAAACCUGCCCCUGCCCAGUUAAAUUAUCUGCUGACAGAUGAACAGAUCAUGGAGGAUCUGAGGACACUGAAUAAGCUUAAAUCACCCAAGAGACCAGCAUCUCCUUCAUCUCCAGAACACCUACCAGCCACACUUGCAGAGUCUCCGGCACAGCGGUUUGAGGCUCGGAUUGAAGAUGGCAAACUCUACUAUGAUAAAAGAUGGUACCACAAGAGCCAGGCUAUUUAUCUGGAGUCAAAAGAGAACACUAAGAUCAGCUGUGUGAUCAGCUCUGUAGGAGCCAACGAGAUGACUUUUGGUGCACAGUCAACCUGUUAAAAUUGGAUUAUGAUAUACUCUAGUCUUCUGAUUUUUUUUUUUUUUCCCCCCAGCAGAAAAGUUUGACUGAGGGUUUGAGAUCUGGGUGAGGAAGACCAGUGACAGCACAAAAAUGAGGAUUUAUCUCGGACAGCUACAGCGAGGGGUUUUUGUGAUCCGUCGGCGAUCAG